rnacentral:rRNA from 1 species
AGGGCACCACCAGGAGUGGAGCCUGCGGCUUAAUUUGACUCAACACGGGAAAACUUACCCGGCCCGGACACUGGAAGGAUUGACAGAUUGAGAGCUCUUUCUUGAUUCCUUGGGUGGGGGGGCAUGGGCGUUCUUAGUUGGUGGAGGGGUUUGUCUGGGUAAUUCCCAUAACCAACGAAACUCUAGCCUACUAAAUAGACUGCCUACUUUUAUAUGCCAUUGAACCUUUUUAUAGGCUUUGGUUUUGAGUGGUCCCCGCUGCAAUUAGCAAAAUCUCGUUGGGGAUGCGGAGUCAUGCCCGGGGCUUCGCCCAAAAUACAAUAAACAGUUCGCUUCGUAUAUGCACAAAUUGUGUCUAACAAUAGGAAAUUGAGCAAACCUUCUUCUGUGAUGCCCUUAGAUGUCCUGGGCUGCACCCGCGCUACAAUGUACCCAUCAACGUGUAUUUCCUAGGUCGAGAUGACCAGGUCCCUCCCUUUAGCACCUUCUUGCUUGCGCUACUGAACUGAAACUGUUCAC